rnacentral:rRNA from 1 species
UACGGAGGGUGCAAGCGUUAUCCGGAUUCACUGGGUUUAAAGGGUGCGUAGGUGGCUUUGUAAGUCAUUGGUGAAAUCUCGGAGCUUACCUCCGAAACUGCCAUUGAUACUGCUUAGCUUGAAUCAGGUAGAGGUGGAUGGAAUAUUACAUGUAGCGGUGAAAUGCUUAGAGAUGUAAUAGAGCACCGAGUGCGAAGGCAGUUCACUAUGCCUGCAUUGACACUGAGGCACGAAAGCGUGGGGAUCAAACAGG